rnacentral:rRNA from 1 species
UGGGCUUUAACUGACGCUGAGGCACGAAAGCGUGGGUAGCAAACAGGAUUAGAUACCCUGGUAGUCCACGCUGUAAACGAUGAUUACUAGGUGUGGGGGGUCUGACCCCUUCCGUGCCGCAGUUAACACAAUAAGUAAUCCACCUGGGGAGUACGGCCGCAAGGUUGAAACUCAAAGGAAUUGACGGGGGCCCGCACAAGCAGUGGAGUAUGUGGUUUAAUUCGAAGCAACGCGAAGAACCUUACCAGGUCUUGACAUCCUAAGGAUCCUGUAGAGAUACGGGAGUGCCCUUCGGGGAAUUUAGAGACAGGUGGUGCAUGGUUGUCGUCAGCUCGUGUCGUGAGAUGUUGGGUUAAGUCCCGCAACGAGCGCAACCCUUACUGUUAGUUGCUACGCAAGAGCACUCUAGCAGGACUGCCGUUGACAAAACGGAGGAAGGUGGGGAUGACGUCAAAUCAUCAUGCCCCUUAUGACCUGGGCUACACACGUACUACAAUGGCCGUCAACAGAGGGCAGCAAAAUGGUGACAUGGAGCAAAUCCCUAAAAACGGUCUCAGUUCAGACUGCAGGCUGCAACUCGACUACAUGAAGCUGGAAUCGC